rnacentral:tRNA from 1 species
ACCGAGGUAGCUCAACGGGCAGAGCAUCAAGUUCGGAACUUGACCGCGGAGGUUCGAUUCCUCCCCUCGGAACAA